rnacentral:lncRNA from 1 species
GUUAAUUACGUGAAAAAUCAUGAACUUUGGGCCCAUUUCCAAGUUUGCCAUGAACUUNUUUUUUUUAUCAAAUUUUCCCUAAACUUAAGGGGCUGAUCAAUUUUGCCACGGUUUUUACCUCCGGUGAAGGUCCGGUCUUAGCUGGCGCCUACGUGGCAAUACAGAGCUGAUAUAGCGCCUACGUGGUAAUACCGAGCUGAUGUGGCGCCUACUUGGAAAAAAAAUAAACAAAAAAUAGUCCCUCUUCGGCUUACCACCUUCGGAGUCUCUCUUCUCUUCCGGCGACUGCACCGCUGUCGCUCUGCCCCCCCUUUCUCU